AUAAAAAAAAAAAAAAAAAAGAAUGGAGCUAGAACUAGUUCUGAGAGAUGGGCAUCAGAAUCCUCAGGCUGUGUCCUAGCAGCAGCAGCUUCAGGACAAGGAAUUCGCGUUAGGGAGGCAGCGCCGGGCGGCCACGCGACACCCCAGCUCCCUCUGCCCGCGCUACCCGCGGACCCGCCGCGCCGACGCCACCGCCCGGCUCCGGGACUGCAACGCCACCGCGACCUACCGCGAGACCCCGCCCAGUCGCUGCGGACACCCCGCCCCUUCCGGCGCUCACCCGGAAGUGGCCUCCCAAGACGGAAGUGUGCGAGUGGAGGGAGAGUCGGCGCCCGGGCGGGUCCCGUGCCCCGCGUCCCUCAGCGCCCUCGGGUGAGAGCGGGGGCCGCCGGGGCGUGUGCGGCCGCCGCGGCGACAGCCUCCAGCCCGCGGGACGUGCGCUCAGGUUCGUGGCCGGCGGUCCGAGCUGGGGCAGGUGAGGGUCGCGGGGAGCGACGCAGGGGGCGGGGGGGACGGACAGACAGACGCGGACGCGAGCCCGGCUCUCGGCCCCGCUGUAGCGAGCGUUUGCCUCCUGUGAAGGGCCGUGCUGACCGCGCGGCGACUCGCGGGGACGGCAGCGUCCCGGGGGCUCCGCGCGGCCUCACCCGGGACGAGAAGCUGCGGAGCUGGACGGGCCGGAGGCUCCUGCUCCGGACACAGCGCCCGGGAUGCUGGCGGCGCCCCGCGGCCCGGCCCGGCCCGUACUCCGAGACCAGGAGACCGCCCGCACCACGUCCCCCAGCCCUGGGCCCGAGGGGGAGCGGCCUCCGCGGGGGCCUCGCAGGCCAUGGCGGGAAUCUACGGGCACCCUGGACGCGUCGCAGAGCACCAGGCGUCUGUGCCCCUUCCCCGCCCUGGGGGCUGCGCACACGGCCAGCCCCUGCACGUCUGAGGGGCUGGCCUGAGCUGCCCCCACGCGCCCCGGGACUCCCACGUGUGACCGCUCCUCUCCGCACACACCCCCCGCACCAGCCUGUCCGGGCUCUAGCCCCAUCGCCAUCCCCGACACGUGGCGGCCUCGGCGCCUCAGGUGUGCGCAGCCCAACGUCCCGCGGGAGCACAAGAAAAGGCCUCGCUGCCCCCAGGCCCCCCUCCAGCGUGGACAGCUGCGUGGGGCGCUCCCCACCGCCCCCCCCCCCAUGGACAUCAUUUCCGGCCCGUCUCUGUGUCCGGCCGCUCUCCACGUGCUGCUCAGGGAGCUGCCCUGGCCCUCACACAUCCUCCUGGGGGAACACUCAGUGCCGUCCCCCAGCAGAGGAUGAGCUGUCCACCGGGUCAGGGGCCACACACAACACAGGGGCCUUCCUACCACCCCAACGCGGUGUGCAUGUCCUGCAUCCACAUGCCAGUGGUGCCGCCACCCCUGCCGAGUGGAACCAGGGUCAGCUCAGCAGGCACUGCAGAAUGCCAAGCCCUCAGAGCAGCCUGUGCCCCUACGAGCCCAAUGCCCAGACGGCCUCGUGGUCCAAUGCUUACAUCACCUCCCUUUGUGGUGCGUGUGCCUUGGGGUGUGGUCCCGUAGACUCCCUACUGACGUGCUGGGACCCCCAAGUGGCAUGA
rnacentral:lncRNA from 1 species